CUGUGAGGCAUAUAGUCAGCCACAUCGUAUGUUGCCUGUGAGCAGUCUAAAUUCAGAAAACACUUCGAAAAAUUAUGUGACUCGAGCAUUUGUUGUGUUCACAAAUCCAUUUCGUAUACUACCAUUACAUAUAAUAGCAUCUUAAUGGAGCUUCAUACUAUGGUUGGAGAAAGAAGGAUGUAUGCCACAGAUUAGCUAACUUGUAACAAGAGUGCAGCAGGAUUUCCUGCACUUUGUGUAGAUUUUUUAGUACAACUGCCUUCUGGCAGCAACUGGCUGUACAUGAUCCACUAGAAUUAUACAUCUGUUGUUAUUCAUAGGGUGUAAUUAAUUUGAUUAACUUUAAACACACAAAGUAAAUGUCACUGAGGUUGCUGAUAUUGUACUCGCUUGAUUAUUACCCCAGUACUCAAGUAAGCCCCCACCCCUACUAUGUCCAAGGCUCUAAGAUUUCCACACCUCUUAGUCCUUUAAAAUUAGUGCUAAUCGGUGCUUUCCACGUGACUGUGCUACAUUUGUGUCUGUAGAAAUGCUAAUAUUCUUCAACUUGUGUAUGCUUGUCGACCACGUGUUGAAGCAACAUGCUGUUUAAGUUAAUAAAUCAAUCACUUCUGCCAAAUAAUAACUUUAGGUGUCAAUGUUUGAGUAAGACCCCAUCCCAUACUUGACCUUUGACUCUGCACAACUAUUGGGGUGGGGUGGGGGUAUACUCAAGUGAGCAUGGUAUUUUAGUUUAACAUGUAAAUCAGGUCUAGUCAAUGCUACCAGAGUAAACAGAUAUAAGAACUACAAUUCACACAACCAUGACACUUCGUACAAUGCAUAGGGAUUGUAUCUAAUUAUACAUAUUCUGAAUGACUGUAA